rnacentral:rRNA from 1 species
GACGAACGCUGGCGGCGUGCCUAAUACAUGCAAGUAGGACGCAGUUGCGAACGGGUGAGUAACGCGUAGGUAACUGCCUAUUAGAGGGGGAUAACUAUUGGAAACGAUAGCUAAUACCGCAUACUAGUAGAUGGACCUGCGUUGUAUUAGCUAGUAGGUAGGGUAAUGGCCUACCUAGGCGACGAUACAUAGCCGACCGGAGAGGUGGAGCGGCCCCACUUGGGUGUAGAAACGGCCCAGACUCCCACGGGAGGCAGCAGUAGGGAAUCUUCGGCAAUGGGGGGAACCCUGACUAAGCAACGCCGCGUGAGUGAAGAAGGUUUUCGGAUCGUAAAGCUCUGUUGUUAAGGAAGCGGUACUUAACCAGAAAGGGACGGCUAACUACGUGCCAGCAGCCGCGGUAAUAC